AUAAAGGAACUCAAAUGUGAGCUAGUUACUUCAAACAUUUAGCUCUUCAGGUGUGACGAGUGAGGCACUAAAUCCGGUUUUACUUAAUUCUUCUUGAAUAAUUGCAACAAAAUACCUCCAAUUCCGGUACACUAUUCCAUGCGAAAUGAAAUUUGUGUUUACCGAAAUAGCUUAUAACACCUCGGAAACGUUACAGUCACAUUCAUGGAAAAUUUUCAACGGCAUUAAAACCGUUGCCUUGUUUUGUAACAGAAUUAUUAUUACCGAACACAUAAACCCGAAUGCAUUAUAAAUUCACUUGAAAAUUUUCAAAAUUACAACAAUACAUUACCCAAAUGCCUUUCAAUUAGUACAACAAAUUUCCAAGCGUCAUAAUUUUCAACAAACAUGUAUUUGUCACAUAAUAUUGUGUCUGAAAUUGUUUACGAUAUAGGGGUUGCAUUUCGUACAAUGUUAUACUUAUUGCCGAGCUAAAGCUGAACUCCCAUAUUUUGGAGAACAUAAAUUGGUGGAACGUUAGGUAUGUACGGUUGCGGGGUAUGAGCUUUGUAACUCAAACCUUACUUCUCCACAUCAACUCCGGCGUUUUUUUUUUAUUUUGUUGUUGUGUUGCCUGAAAACGAAAACAUAGAACAAUAUGUAGAUUUGUGGUGUACAAGGGAACAGCCGCACACGAAAACCGUUUGAAAUGACACUACUCUCGUACAAAUGCAAUUUCCAUUUCCACCGAAAAUUUCUACAUAAAGUUAUGUGAUACGUAGAUGCUGUUUCAUAAAAUUUUCUUCGUUUCGCUGUUGUGUUUGCAUGGAUGAAUGUGGCGUUGCGGCUAUACACCAACUCACUAAAUGGCGUACAUAUAUAUAUCUGGGGCUCUGUGUAUCAUGAUGUUAGUGUUGCAAGUCAUAUCCGAUCAAAGUUUUCACAAAAUGCAUAACUCCCAUCAUCCUCUCGUUUUUCUCGCCCCCCUAUUGUGUGCUGCAAAUUCGAUUGAAUACGUGUUCCAUUUCGAAAUGGAAAAUGUUAGCAUAUCAUACGGAUUUUGAGCAAUUUCGUUGGAAUAUAUUCUUGGUUUUAGGUUGGAGGUAAUCGAAAUACGGUCACGGAAUGGAGCUUUAUCCAGGUUCAGACAAAGUGGAGUACACUUUCCCCAUUAAAAAAAAACCAAAUUUUAUGAAUGCCAUAAAGAACAAAAGCGACCGACUCUAUGGUAGUAAAUAGAAUGUCGAUGAGUUUUAUGGAUCUCAAACAUUCAAAACAUAAUCCACUUAACGAAUAUAACAUUUUGAUUUGUACAAAUAAACCGUAACCCUCGUUCGUUUUCACGCACGCACCGA